rfam:Nomascus leucogenys chromosome 3, whole genome shotgun sequence.
ACGGAGACAUGGCAUGAAGCCAGAGAGUGAGAGACAUUAACUCAUUAGACUGGAACUUGAACUGAUUCACAUCUCAUUUU